rnacentral:rRNA from 1 species
UACGAAGGGGGCUAGCGUUGCUCGGAAUCACUGGGCGUAAAGCGCACGUAGGCGGCUCUUUAAGUCAGGGGUGAAAUCCCAAGGCUCAACCCUGGAACUGCCUUUGAUACUGGGGAUCUCGAGUCCGGAAGAGGUUGGUGGAACUGCGAGUGUAGAGGUGAAAUUCGUAGAUAUUCGCAAGAACACCAGUGGCGAAGGCGGCCAACUGGUCCGAUACUGACGCUGAGGUGCGAAAGCGUGGGGAGCAAACAGG